GACGCGGGGGGGAGCAUGGUGAGGGCGGGCGUGUUUCUUUUCAAAAUAUGGCUUGCAGGAACCGUUAUUCCAAAUUCUCGUACCCCACCUUUAAUGACAUGCAUCCCAAAGCCAGAAAAAUCUCUGUUUUUCUGGACAAGUCCUACAGUAAAAGAGAGACUGUGCCAGGUACAGAAGCAAAUGGGGAGGCAGACUCUGAAUAGAGGUAGAUACACGCUGGAACAGCACUUUCCACAUGCUGGAACUCCUUUAUAAUGAGACAGAACCAGUGGGAGCAGCCCUGGCAUCUUUAAAGACCAACAUCUCCCCAGUUAAUGCUCAUGAACAUGAGGCUGUUGGAGAUACUUUACAUAUUCUGGCUCCAAUCCAUCAGGCUACUGUAGAACUAUCUGAGGAGAAAAGGGUAUCUGCUUCAAAUACCUGUCUACAAUGGAGUCACUUAGUGCGAUGACAACGACAACCAUGCUCGACCCGAGGUUUAAAGCCACUGGGUUCCUACGCCAAAAUAAGAUGCAUGAAGCAGUAAAGCAACUGAAAGUAGAGUGGGCCAAUAGAAUUACAAUUGCUGAAUCUGCUAGAUCGAGUGAGCCCUUAAUCCAGCAGCCAGCCUCCUCUGAAACAGCUGGGAUGCAAACAGCUGUAUUGUCUUGUAGCAUCUGCUGGACCCCACAGUGAAUCAGAGCAGAAGAAGCUCAAAUGCCACUGCUGAUGCAACAAUAGAAGGGGAACGUUACUUGGACGAGGCCAACCUUCCAAAAAUUGUAGAUCCACUUGUAUAUUGGAGUCCACAAAAACAUGUUUACCACUACCAGCUGGCACUUCAGUUUUUAUGUUCACCAGUAUCCUCAGUACCAUGUGAAAGGGUGUUCUCCGAGGCUGGGGAGGGAAUUUCUAAGAAAUGAACCGCCUCAAUCCAAAUACAGUAAAACAAUUACAUUUAUUUAUUUUAAGAACAUGAUCAAUAAAGGUUCCCCUAAAUAUGACUAUGUAUCCUGCAUGGAGCACUCACAGUCCAUCACACACGCAAUAAACACAAACAUAAAGAGGGUAAUGUUUAUGGACACCUUUUUAUUGUGCAGAUACAAUUAUUCUGAGCAUAAAUUCACACAAAAAGUGUGUGAGAGACAGAGAGAGAAUAAAAAGCAUAGAGACCAAAUAAAAGGCACAUAAAACACUUAUGUAAUAAGUUAUUUUCAAACAGAACAUUGUGUAAAGUCCAUGUAAAUAAUAAUGGGCCGUGUCAGAACACUGCUGUGAUGUAGAUAUUGAAACAUGCUGUACACGUCUCUGAGCAGUAGGUAUCGCUAGUGAACUCGAGUGAGAUUUCAAGUCAUGAAUCUUCAUCUGCCACGCCCCUUUAUACUCCAUACACACUUCAGAGCCUCAGUUAGCCAUCACUGAUCACUAUACUGCAAAUCAUUAACAUUUAUUACAGAGAAAAUGGCAAAUAAACUACUGAAUAUUAAAGAUUUAUUAUGGACUUAAAUUUGUUAGAAAUGA